rnacentral:rRNA from 1 species
GACGAACGCUGGCGGCGUGCUUAACACAUGCAAGUCGAACGCUGAAGCUCAGCUUUUGUUGGGUGGAUGAGUGGCGAACGGGUGAGUAACACGUGAGUAACCUGCCCCCUUCUUUGGGAUAACGCCCGGAAACGGGUGCUAAUACUGGAUAUUCACUGGUCUUCGCAUGGGGGUUGGUGGAAAGGGUUUUUCUGGUGGGGGAUGGGCUCGCGGCCUAUCAGCUUGUUGGUGGGGUGAUGGCCUACCAAGACUUUGACGGGUAGCCGGCCUGAGAGGGUGACCGGUCACAUUGGGACUGAGAUACGGCCCAGACUCCUACGGGAGGCAGCAGUGGGGAAUAUUGCACAAUGGGCGCAAGCCUGAUGCAGCGACGCCGCGUGAGGGAUGGAGGCCUUCGGGUUGUGAACCUCUUUCGCUCAUGGUCAAGCCGCAACAAUGGUUGUGGUGAGGGUAGUGGGUAAAGAAGCGCCGGCUAACUACGUG